rnacentral:rRNA from 1 species
AUUGAACGCUGGCGGAAUGCUUUACACAUGCAAGUCGAACGGUAGAGGGGGGCAACCCCUUGAGAGUGGCGAACGGGUGAGUAAUAUAUCGGAACGUGCCCAGUCGUGGGGGAUAACGUAGCGAAAGUUACGCUAAUACCGCAUACGAUCUAAGGAUGAAAGCGGGGGAUCGCAAGACCUCGCGCGAUUGGAGCGGCCGAUAUCAGAUUAGGUAGUUGGUGAGGUAAAGGCUCACCAAGCCAACGAUCUGUAGCUGGUCUGAGAGGACGACCAGCCACACUGGAACUGAGACACGGUCCAGACUCCUACGGGAGGCAGCAGUGGGGAAUUUUGGACAAUGGACGCAAGUCUGAUCCAGCCAUUCCGCGUGCAGGAUGAAGGCCCUCGGGUUGUAAACUGCUUUUGUACGGAACGAAAGGUUUCUCUUAAUACGAGGAGACUCAUGACGGUACC